UAUGCGCAUGCGCGAUGCGGGAAAUAUUGUAAACACCAUAACAAAGAUGGCGAACACCCGAUCUAAGUGGAAGGGUUCUGAAUCAGUUUUAACCGAGAGCACGAAGAAACGAAGAAUCGAGAACAUGAUUUUAACUUCACAAAGACGGGCACUUAUCUUAGAGACAGAGCAAGCACAUGGCAUCAGUUAAUAAAGGCCGAAAGGAUUAAAACAGACCCUCAGCUGGCCAAGCUAAUGCUUGAACAGUUUUGAAAGCAAGCAUAAGAUCUAGAGCGUCUGGUCAUAAAGAAACUGAAGCUAAUUCAAUGAAGAUGACCACACACAGGCGGCACGGAGUCCGGCCACCACGGACGACACUAGUCCUGAAACCACACACUUGGAUAUCACAGGAUAUAUAACACUAAAGUUCUCGCAGGAAAAUAGUGCCAUACAAGGUGGAAAGGACAUACCAACACAUCCAGGGACUUAUUUAUCUGAUAGUGGCCAACAGAAAAACGGAUAGAGCUGGAAUAUCUAACCAAAACCCCUGCAUCAAAUAGAUCCCAGAAGAUUCAUAUUGACUCUCCUAGCCCAUGUUCCUCCACCAUCCACUGCCCAACUGGUAGAGGAGAAGAAAUCUCUAUUAAGAUUAAUGGGAAAAAUUGAAAUUUUGAGACUUAUCAAGUUCCAGAGACUAUUACUUUUGAAUAUCUGUCCUUACAUUUAUUAGCUCACCUGGUCCGAACGACCAAGAUGAGUGUAUGCCAUACUGAGGCGUCCGACAUCCAUCUUGUCAACAUUGUGAACACAAUAUUUGAAUAACUUGAGUAAAUAUCAGAAUAUACCAAAUUUGAUAAAAGUUAAUACAUAUAUCGACAAGAUCUCAGACAACUUCAAAAAUGGAAAUUAUAUGACAGUAGUUUGCAGAGUUAUUGCCCUUUGUAAUGUUCUUAUUAUUAACAUUUUUUUAGUUCACUGGUCAGAAUGGGAACUCUUUAAAAUUCUACUAAUUCUGAAGAACUAAAUUGCACUAAUAAAAUAUUGAUGUUAACACUCACUAGUGAUCUAUAAACUCUCAAAAUUCAUUGAUGUCAACACCCACUAGUGCUCAAUAGUUUUUUAAUGUCAACACUCACUAGUACUCAAUAGUCAUGGAUGUCAACACUCACUAAUACUCAAUAGUCAUGGAUGUCAACAAACACUAAUACUCAAUUGUCAUGGAUGUCAACACUCCAUAAUACUCAAUAGUCAUUGAUGUCAACACUCCAUAAUACUCACAUAAAUAUUGUGAAUUUCAUGACCCUGUGGAGGGGGUAAUGUUUAUAUAGGGAAAUCACAAUUUUGAUCAGCAUGUUUGAUUUCUAUUGAAAUUCAUUCUAACUUCAUUAACAUUAUCAGCAUGGGGUGACAGCUUGAUGGCAUGCACAUGUUGGCCCUGACUGACCUUCUUGGCUGAUGGGCGAUGCUAAAAAUGGUCAAUUUAAUUGAAUAUUUCAAAACCCGGGUGACCAUUAAGGCCCAUCGGCCUCUUGUUUUACAUAAGCCAGUAUCGUUGAAAACUGAUGCAUAUGAAAUAUUGUAAAUAAAACAGAAGUUUUCCAUGAAUUCAAUAAUUUA